rnacentral:tRNA from 1 species
CCCUUCGUGGCGUAGUGGUGAGCACGCUGGACGCGCGUUCCUGAGGUCCGUGGUUCGAGUCCUGGCGAAGGCG